ACGAGCGCAACCCCUNUUCUUAGUUGCCAGCACGUAAUGGUGGGGACUCUAGGAAAACUGCCUNCGCAAAUCGAGAGGAAGGUGGGGAUGACGUCAAAUCNUCACGGCCCUUACGUCCAGGGCUACACACGUGCUACAAUGGCCGGUACAGAGGGCNGCUACCUGGUGACNGGAUGCUAAUCCNUCAAAGCCGGUCUCAGUUCGGAUNGAAGUCUGCAACUCGACUUCNUGAAGNUGGAAUCGCUAGUAAUCGCGCAUCAGCCAUGCCGCGGNAAAUACNUUCCCGGGCCUUUGA
rnacentral:rRNA from 1 species